GACACCUUACCUUCGGUCACUUUGCUACGGGACACAACAUGGAGUUACACGGACCAGGAGCUGUAGUUAUUGACGGGUCCUGUUGGGGUGAAUACUGCUCUCCAUGGAUGAAUACAUCUUUGCUACCUGACUAACAUGGAGCCUCAGUUAUGUGCCUUUUUGCCCCAGGCUUUAUGUUCAUGUUGGGGCUUUAGGUGGGCAUGGCUGAGCUGAAACGUGCAGAACGCUGCUCAUGGGUACUGAAGCGUUUCAGUUCCUCGGCUGUCUGGAAGUGGGAGCUUCCAUAGAAGGAUCACGAUGCUUUGAGCUUUCUGCAAAACGCAGCCAAGGGUUGCAUUCACAAGAUCAAGAAUGCAGUUCAGGCUGUCCUGAAGUCCAGGUGGACCUCAAGUUGUAAAGCUUCACUCUAAACAGCUGGAGUGGGAUGGUGGUUUCCCUCAAGUCCAAAGGAUUGCUUGAACAUCAGUGGGAGAACCAUAACGCUGUGUCCAUAGUAACUGAAGCUGGCCUGGAACACAAGGUCUUCAGCUCCAGAAGGGACUGAUCAGGUUGGUGUUCAUGGCUCACUGAAGAUGGCUGCAUGUUGACUCCUUUCCCCUUACAUUUAAAACUUAAACUCAGUCAACAAUGAUUGCACUGGGCAAAAUGGGGCUAUUGUAAUAUCUACAACUGCAUGUGGAAGGAACAUGUCAGUAUGAACCUAAAGCACAUGUUGGUACAUGUUUAAUGUAGCAGACUUUAUCCAGAGGGGGGGGAAAAUGGCAUCCUAUGUGCAAUUGGAAGGGAUUGCUUCACUAGGCUUAAGUGCUAGCAAUGUACAGUAUGAAGUUAAAGCUGGCAAACUACACCUAAUAAAGUAAACUCACAGAUCA